AAGUAGCGUGAAGGAUGACUGCCUAUGGGUUGUAAACUUCUUUUAUACGGGAAUAAGUGAGGCACGUGUGCCUUUUUGUAUGUACCGCAUGAAUAAGGAUCGGCUAACUCCGUGCCAGCAGCCGCGGUAAUACGGAGGAUCCGAGCGUUAUCCGGAUUUAUUGGGUUUAAAGGGAGCGUAGGCGGACGCUUAAGUCAGUUGUGAAAGUUUGCGGCUCAACCGUAAAAUUGCAGUUGAUACUGGGUGUCUUGAGUACAGUAGAGGCAGGCGGAAUUCGUGGUGUAGCGGUGAAAUGCUUAGAUAUCACGAAGAACUCCGAUUGCGAAGGCAGCCUGCUGGACUGUAACUGACGCUGAUGC
rnacentral:rRNA from 1 species